rnacentral:tRNA from 1 species
AAGGCCCUAGUUUAACAAAAACAUUUGAUUUGCAAUCAGACGAUGCAAGAUAGAGUCUUGUGGGUUUUA